rnacentral:rRNA from 1 species
AGCGAACGCUGGCGGCAGGCCUAACACAUGCAAGUCGAACGAACUCUUCUGAGUUAGUGGCGGACGGGUGAGUAACACGUGGGAACGUGCCUUUUGGUUCGGAAUAACUCAGGGAAACUUGUGCUAAUACCGAAUGUGCCCUUCGGGGGAAAGAUUUAUCGCCAUUAGAGCGGCCCGCGUCUGAUUAGCUAGUUGGUGAGGUAACGGCUCACCAAGGCGACGAUCAGUAGCUGGUCUGAGAGGAUGACCAGCCACACUGGGACUGAGACACGGCCCAGACUCCUACGGGAGGCAGCAGUGGGGAAUCUUGCGCAAUGGGCGAAAGCCUGACGAAGCCAUGCCGCGUGAAUGAUGAAGGUCUUAGGAUUGUAAAAUUCUUUCACCGGGGAAGAUAAUGACGGUACCAGGAGAAGAAGCCCCGGCUAACUUCGUG